AAAGCACUUUGAAAAGAGGGUGAAAAGAACCUGAAACCGUUACGGGGGAAGCGGAUUGCAUUAUUCUAGUUUUAACGUGUUCAACCUUUUAGGUGCAUUGACGUUAAAACUUAUCUGCUGUGGAUUUUUGAUAAUUGAAAAUGAAUUAUUAAAGAUUGAGGGCUCCACUUUGUGUGAGGACAGCGGAUUGACGAUGCGAUACGACCCGUCUUGAAACACGGACCAAGGAGUCUAGCGCGGGUGCGAGUCGGAAGGUGUAAAAACCUGUGGGCGAAGUGAAAGCGAGAUAAAACUCUCAGUUUGAGGCGGCAUAUUUUCGUUGAAAAUAGGUCCGACCUUGAGCAGUUGCGCUGGGACCCGAAAGAUGGUGAACUAUGCCGGAGUAGGGCAAAGCCAGAGGAAACUCUGGUGGAGGCUCGUAGCGGUGCUGACGUGCAAAUCGCUCGUCGAACUUGGGUAUAGGGGCGAAAGACUAAUCGAACCAUCUAGUAGCUGGUUUCCUCCGAAGUUUCUCUCAGGAUAGCGGGCCGACAUAGUGUUGUUUUGUGCG
rnacentral:rRNA from 1 species